UUAAGUCGUUCGAGGACACAAGUCCUGGACUUUAGCUCUUAUCAGCUGAGUGGAGUAAGGGUCUGGCAUGUUAGCCUGGUAAGAAAGAAAACAUAUACAAUGAAACUCAGCACUUAUUUAUGUGUAGAAGAGUAAAAUAUACAUUGGCUGUCAUUUCCUUACAGAGAGCAUGCUACCGUGAGCACACAGUUACAGCUUUCACACAAACAAAGCCAACACUGUUGUAAUUUAGUUUCCCUGAAGGAAGCCGGUCAGUGAACAUAAAAGGACAUUCCUGAGGCCAAUAAAAUGUAGGACUCUGGACUUGAAACUUGAGCCACUGCCUGAAGGUAUGGUGAGCCCAACAGAUGAAGAAGCGACUGUCUUAGAAAAGAUAGCCUGUCGUUCACAGUUCUCAAAAGGAGUGGGGCAUGCUCUGCCACGAAGUACCACACAAAAUGUAACACCAAGCUAUUAACCAGUGGGAGAAAAUGGGAUUGAAUAUGAAGCCAGCAUGGAGCAGUGUCAUUCAUUAGGAGUCAGCCGUGACAAUGGUGAAGAGC